rnacentral:rRNA from 1 species
ACAAGGAUUCCCCUAGUAACUGCGAGUGAAGCGGGAAAAGCUCAAAUUUAAAAUCUGGCAGUCUUUGGCUGUCCGAGUUGUAAUCUAGAGAAGUGUUACCCGUGCUGGACCGUGUAUAAGUCUCCUGGAAUGGAGUGUCAUAGAGGGUGAGAAUCCCGUCUUUGACAUGGACUACCAGUGCUUUUGUGGUGCGCUCUCAAAGAGUCGAGUUGUUUGGGAAUGCAGCUCAAAAUGGGUGGUAAAUUCCAUCUAAAGCUAAAUAUUGGCGAGAGACCGAUAGCGAACAAGUACCGUGAGGGAAAGAUGAAAAGAACUUUGGAAAGAGAGUUAAACAGUACGUGAAAUUGCUGAAAGGGAAACGCUUGAAGUCAGUCAUGUUGACUGGAAAUCAACCUUGCUUUUGCUGGGUGUACUUUCUGGUUGACGGGCCAGCAUCAGUUUUGCUCAAUGGAAAAAGUCUAAGGGAAUGUGGCAUCUUUGGAUGUGUUAUAGCCCUUGGUUGUAUACAUUGGUUGGGACUGAGGAAUUCAGCACGCCGAAAGGCCGGGUCUUUGACCACGUUCGUGCUUAGGAUGCUGGCAUAAUGGCUUUAAUCGACCCGUCUUGAAACACGGACCAAGGAGUCUAACAUGCCUGCGAGUAUUUGGGUGUAAAACUCGGAUGCGUAAUGAAAGUGAAAGUUGGGAUCCCUGUCAUGGGGAGCACUGACGCCCGGACCAGAAGUAUUCUGAUGGCCCCGCGGUAGAGCAUGUAUGUUGGGACCCGAAAGAUGGUGAACUAUGCCUGAAUAGGGUGAAGCCAGAGGAAACUCUGGUGGAGGCUCGUAGCGAUUCUGACGUGCAAAUCGAUCGUCGAAUUUGGGUAUAGGGGGCGAAAGACUAAUCGAACCAUCUAGUAGCUGGUUCCUGCCGA